GACGAACGCUGGCGGCGUGCUUAACACAUGCAAGUCGAACGGUCAAGCUCCAGCUUUCUGGAGUGGAUCAGUGGCGAACGGGUGUGUAACACGUGAGCAACCCGCCCCUGUCUCUCGGAUAAGCGCUGGAAACGGCGUCUAAAACUGGAUAUGAGAAGGUUCAGCAUGUGCACCUUCUGGAAAGUUUUUCGGUUGGGGAUGGGCUCGCGGGCUAUCAGCUUGUUGGGGUGGUAAUGGUUGACCAAGGGAGAGACGGGUAGGCGGCAUGAGAGGGCAACCGGCCACCAUGGGACUAAGGGAGGGCGCAGAAUGCUACGGGCGGCAGCAGUGGGGAGUAUGGCGGAGUGGGCGAAAGCGUGAGACGGAGGCGCCGCGUGAGGGAAGACGGCCUUCGGGUUGUAAACCUCUGUCAGCAGGGAAGAAGCGGGAGUGACGGUACCUGCAGAGGAAGCAACGGCUAACUACGUG
rnacentral:rRNA from 1 species